AAGGUACACUCUACUAUGUAUGCACAGCCACAGAAAAAUCAUAGUGUGUACAUUGCUUGAAUGAUCCUUUUGGGUUUGGCUGUUACUCACAGAUGAAGGAGACAUUUCCAAGGUUGUAACCAGAGUCAUUCUAAGCACAGUCCUUGCAGCAGUAGAGACAAUCCCAAUGACUACAGGAAAUCCUCAACUCUCAUCCAGAACCUGUAAGCUCAGGACAUGCAUCAUAGGAAGGAUGUGAAUUGCUGAAGUGCUUCCAUGGUAGUCUUUUGCUCCCUGCCUACGUGGGCAAGAAGCUGUAGACUCUGGGAUAAUUUGGACGAUCCCAGCACGGGUAUACUCCACUCUGCUUCAUGGCACUUACCAAGGCUGGAGAGAGACCACACCCAUCCCUUCUGUUUUCCAUUGCAUUCCCUUCCCCAAACUUUCCAUCCAGAAAUUCUUCUUUGGUUGACCCUGCCACAUUGUAUAUUCUUGUUCUCCCCCCAUGAUGCAUUUUAUUUCAGUAUCCUUAGAUUCCUAAUAAAUCAAUUAUUUAAACAU
ensembl:lncRNA novel transcript